CGAGCACGCGCGUGUGGCAUAUCAAUAAGCGGAGGAAAAGAAACUAACAAGGAUUCCCUUAGUAACGGCGAGUGAAGCGGGAAGAGCUCAAAUUUGAAAUCUUCAAGGUUCUACCUUGACGAAUUGUAGUUUAUAGAAGUGUUUUCUGUUAGUGGAGUGGCAAAAGUUCUUUGGAAUAGGACAUCAUAGAGGGUGAGAAUCCCGUAUUUGGUCAUUCCUCCUAGCGUUGUGAUACACUUUCAACGAGUCGGAUUGUUUGGGAAUGCAGUCCAAAAUGGGUGGUAAAUUUCAUCUAAAGCUGAAUAUUGGCGAGAGACCGAUAGCGAACAAGUACCGUGAGGGAAAGAUGAAAAGAACUUUGAAAAGAGAGUUAAACAGUACGUGAAAUUGUCAAAAGGGAAGCGUUUGACACCAGUGUUGUUUUUCCGAAAAUCAAUUACGAAUGUUUUAGUUUUUGAGGAGUUAUGACUUCAUCGACUUGCUCCUUUCUUUAUGAAACUUUCUUAAUGCACUUUUCGGUUAACAAGUCAACAUCAAUUUCUUUUGUUGUAAAAGGGUAUGAGGAAGGUGGCUUUCUUUUCGGAGAAAGUGUUUAUAGCCUUGUGCCUCUGCAAGUCGGAGAGAUUGAGGUCUGCAGCGUAGAUCCUUCGGGGUUAGAUAUGUUUGUGCUAAGUUAUAGCUUUUCAUAGACAACUUGUUGACUAUGUUUAGUCUUGUAGCCUACUCGCAUGACGCUAUUUUACCUACGCUUAGGAUGUUGAGUAGCGACAUACGCAC
rnacentral:rRNA from 1 species